rnacentral:rRNA from 1 species
AUUGAACGCUGGCGGAAUGCUUUACACAUGCAAGUCGAACGGCAGCACGGGGCAACCUGGUGGCGAGUGGCGAACGGGUGAGUAAUACAUCGGAACGUGCCCAAUCGUGGGGGAUAACGUAGCGAAAGUUACGCUAAUACCGCAUACGAUCUACGGAUGAAAGCGGGGGAUCGCAAGACCUCGCGCGAAUGGAGCGGCCGAUGUCAGAUUAGGUAGUUGGUGGGGUAAAGGCUCACCAAGCCAACGAUCUGUAGCUGGUCUGAGAGGACGACCAGCCACACUGGAACUGAGACACGGUCCAGACUCCUACGGGAGGCAGCAGUGGGGAAUUUGGACAAUGGGCGCAAGCCUGAUCCAGCCAUUCCGCGUGCAGGAUGAAGGCCUUCGGGUUGUAAACUGCUUUUGUACGGAACGAAACGGUCUGCCCUAAUACGGCGGGCUAAUGACGGUACCGUAAGAAUAAGCACCGGCUAACUACGUGCCAGCAGCCGCGGUAAUAGU